rnacentral:rRNA from 1 species
GGCCUGCCCACUGAGGAUUUAAAUGGCCGCGGUAUUUUGACCGUGCAAAGGUAGCAUAAUAAUUAGUUUUUUAAUUGAAAGCUGGUAUGAAAGGUUGGAUGAGAAAAUGACUGUCUCUGUUUAGAUUAAUUAGAAUUUUAUUUUUAAGUAAAAAAGCUUAAAUAAAAAUAGAAGACGAGAAGACCCUAUAGAGUUUUAAUUUAGUUGGGGUGAUUGAAAAAUUUAAUAAACUUUUUUUGUAAUUGACCAUUGAUAUAUGAAUAUUUGAUCCUUUUUUUAAGAUUAAAAGAAAAAAUUACCUUAGGGAUAACAGCGUAAUUUUUUUAGAGAGUUCAAAUCGAAAAAAAAGAUUGCGACCUCGAUGUUGGAUUAAAAUUAAGUUUUGGUGUAGAAGCUAA